rnacentral:RNase_P_RNA from 1 species
GGAGCAAAUCGCUCUAUCGCUAUCCCGAUUAAUAUCGGGAUGGAGGAAAGUCCGGGCAACACAGAGCAUCCUGCUUCCUAACGGGAAGGCACCCAAAAAGGUGACAGAAAGUGCUACAGAAAAUAAACUACUUCCGUUUAACGGGAGAAAAGGUGAAAACGUGAGGUAAGAGCUCACGACUUUGUAUGGCGACAUGCAUCGUGGUAAACCUCAGGAGUUGAAAGACCAAAUAAACCUUAACCGUCGGGGCUGCUCGUUCCGCUGCGCUUGUCGCUAUUAAGGAGGGUAGGUCGUUAGAUUAUAAUAGCAAUAUUAUGGCAAGAUAAAUGAUAGAGAAUCCUGAAAUCCAAAGCAAUUUGGAUCAGGAUGACAGAACCCGGCUUAUAGAUUUGCUUUUUAU